ACAUAGCUUUCAGUAAGGCCCUUGGCUUGAAGGAUUGACGGUGAGGCCUGCCCAAUGAUUGUAUCCAAAUUUAAAUAAUAAAAGAAGUUGUUUAAUUAAAGACAGUUAAAUGGCCGCGGUAACUCUGACCGUGAUAAUGUAGCGAAAUCAAUAGCCAAUUAAUUGUUGGCAAGUAUGAAUGGCGUAACGAAUGCCCUACUGUCUCGAGAUAAAAACCAGUGAAAUUGAAAUUGUAGUGAAGAUGCUACAAACAAAUUGUAAGACGAGAAGACCCCGUUGAGCUUUACUGGAGGCUUAAAUUGUUUUUAAAAUUAAGGGGUAGAUUAUGUGGGAAUAUUUUAAAAUUCCACUCCUUAGAUAUAAAAAAUUUACCAAUAUUUUAUUGGGUAAGUUUAAGUUGGACAGUUUGGUUGGGGCGACCGCCUUCUAAAGAGUAACGAAGGCGAACAAAAGGUAAAUAAGGGAAUAGUAUAAAGUAAAAGCCUGACAGUAAGGGUGACUUCCAAGCUGACACAGGUUGAAUUGGGAAAAUUAAUACUGUGGGUUAUAAUGACCCGUUAGUUAAGAGUGGGCUUGCUAACGAGCAACGAAUAAAAGUUACCACGGGGAUAACAGCGUAAUCUCGUUUGAGAGUUCAUAUUGAUGACGGUGUU
rnacentral:rRNA from 1 species